GGCGGAUUGGUGCAAUGGUCUGCACACACGUUCCUACUGUGAAGCCUGAAGGUGAGGGGUUCAAAUCCCUAUCUGCUU
rnacentral:tRNA from 1 species